AUGCUCUCUUCCCAUUCCGUCUUCGUCUUCCUCCUCGCCAUCCUCUCCACCGAACGGGGCAUCGCGGCGGAGUGCUCAGGUCGGCGGCGGAACCGCGGGUGGUUCUCCUCGCGGGGGAAUCGCUGCUGCUCCUCGUCGUCGGAGCGUUCUGGAAGUCGGUCGCUUCACCGGAACUCGAAGCGUCCUGCUAAUCGCCAGCCACGACCUGCGCGGAGUGUUGAGCAGGGAGAGGAUGUUGAGGAUGUUGAUCAGUUCCGUGUUGUAAAGCGGACUAGACGUGCAGCACUUAGAAAGGGAGUCGAGUCAUCUUCUAGGGCAGCAGUUGCUGGAGGAGUUGUCGCAUCUUCCGCAGCUGAUGCUGAGGCCAGCGGUGAAGGAGUUGAGGUAGCUGCAGGGGAAGAUCUGCAGCGACCAUCACAAGCGGGCAGGAUAAGGGCAUCACCAGCACGGUUUGCAAACUUCAACAGCUCUCUAUCCCCACCACAGAAGUCAGAGCUAGUUUCGAGGAUAUGGCUGGAAGAACGGAACACAUUCUUUAUGGCCUGGCUUGCGGUUGCCUUCAGCACUUUUCUAGCACCAACCACGGCCUUGAAGCUCAGCCCAACGUGCUACGGACUUGUGCUAGAUCAUCAAAUGCUUAACAACACAAACAUCUGCCUCUUUGUAGCAGAACACAUUAAUGAAGCUUUCCGGAACAUGGACCAGGAGAAGCAAACCGUCUGCUGCUGCUUGUAUCACUUGAUGAUACUAUACCUUGAUGCGCUCGUCCAUGACAUCCCAGUAAGCAACUGCGCGAUACGAGCGAAUGCAUGGGAUAGUAUUCUAAUUGCCAAGGUGAUCAAGAAGGAUACUAUAUCUCCUGGUGUGUUCGGCAAAUUACAACUUAAAGAGGAGUAUAGAGGCAUGGAGCAGACACCACUGUUUGGUGGAAUUUUGCAAGCUGAAGCAUUCGUGGCAUCCAAGUUACCAAUAACCUACAAUCCGCAGCAGUUGCCAAGAUUGAUGACGAGGAACCAGAUAUUAUCCUUACGUACAACAGUCAUCAAUGGGAACCAGGCCGUCACAUCGUGCUCCAAAAAAAAGAGACGGGGGUCAACUAUACAAGAAGAAGAAGAGUUUGUUGAGGAGGAGUCAGAAGAAGAUGAGGAAAUGGAAGCAGCGAUAGAUGUUGACGAUGACGAGGACACAUAUGCGGAUGAAUCAGAGGAGGAGGACAAUGAGGAGGAUGACAAAGAAGAAGAUGCAGAGGAGGAGGAGGAGGAAGAGGAGGAGGAGGAGGACAAAGAAGAGGAGGAGGACAAAGAAGAAGAGGACAAAGGAGAGGAGGAGAACAAGGAAGAAGAUAGCGAGGCAGAGGAGGAGGAAGAGGAAGAAGAAGAUGAGGCCAAAGAGGGGGACGGGGAUAGAGGUGGAGCAGUUGAUGGCACUGAGGGGGGAGAAGACAAAGAUACAACAGUUGAUGGCAGCGAGGGGGAAGAAGAUGACGAUGAAGAAGACGAGGAUGGUGAUGGUGAUGAUAAAGGGGGAUCCAAUGGAGGCAGCGACAGCAGCGAUGAUGAUGAUGACAAUGCCCCUGGUUCUGGUGGUACAGGCGGCAACACAUCCAGGAGGACUAGGAGCUCUGCCACCCCUUCCAACAGCAGCAAUUCAUUGAGCAGUAGGAGCACACUACAGAUGUUGAUUGACAAAACUUGCUGGAAAGACAUGGAUUUGCCGAAGUCAAAGAAAAAUGAUGAAGCAGAGUCUCAGGGCAGCAUUGAUAUGUUCAAGCUCUGCAACUUGAAGCCAUCUUUGCCAACCACCUUUCCCGUGCCAGAUUUUAGCGACAAGAGAUGAAAGGGUCUUGACUGGGUUCAUUCAAAGAAAAAAUACAAAGAAUAUUUGAAGGAGCUUCCAGAUAUAAGCUCGAGCAAGAGCAACGCACCAUCUGUUUCAAACCCUCACGUGGCCCAGAAGUGCAAAGCAGUCUCAAUGAAGAAGAAUCUGCAGUUGCCUCAAACCAAGGAGAAGAUGGUGAGUGCAGAUGCUGAAAUAAAUGUGGUCAAGGAAGCUGUGGUUCAAACUGAUAUGCCAACUGUACUGAGCAGAGAGCCAACCAACAUCACAGGUGUUCAACGGAUCAAGGGGAAGACUCCUCUUUCAGCAGUCCCACCUAAACCACCUAAGCAGCAAAAUAUUGUCAAGUUUGCCAAGGGCACAACGGGGGAACAAGGCACAAAAGGGUUGGGGUUCAGAGACGAGACAGAACUGCGCGCCGCAGCCAUUGAUGCAGGGGUGCCAAGUUCUGCUAGGUUGCUGCAAACUCAGAUUGGAAAGAUGCCAACUACAGAUACCAGUGUGCCAACUGAUGUGCCAGUUAGCAGCAUGGUCACAGUCAAAACCACCACUGCUGCUCAGGGAGGCACCACUGCAACUGCAAGCCCCAAGGUGUCUACUCAUAAAGAUGCUUCAAUGCCAAAGACGAAAGGAGGGAGAUCAAACUCUUACACCUUUCAUGGCGACGGGUUCUGCGAUGCACCAUCUUUUGACCUUGGCAUAGAUGGUGAUGCUCCAGCACCUGCUCCAGCAGCAGAAACAGCAGAAACAACACAUGCUCCAGCAGCAGAAACAGCGGAAGCUGGUGCUGUUGGCAUAGAUGAGGGUGAGUUGGACCUAGCAGCUUUGAAUGAAGGAUGCGCUGCUGGUGAUGCUGGCAAGGCAAUAGCUCAAGAGCCGGAUGUUGGAUCACCAGACAAUUACCACACCCCGAUAUACGCAGAACCAGAAGUUGGCACGAGCAGUUCUUCAGGACCACCUGUUGCACGAAGACAGAGGAGGGUAAUAAGGCCUGCAGCAUCUCAAAGGUCUUCAUUCAUUGACUACAACAAGAAGAAGACGUUCACAUCCAAUGAGGCAGUCAACAAGCUUUACGCUGCCCUCUUGUAUUGGGUCAGGCAUCACCCAGGAGCAAAUGAUGAGGCUACCAGCCCUGAGAUAAUCAGGUAUGGUACUUUCUUCAUUUCUUUAAAGGAGUUAGUUGAUUCCAUGAAGCCGGUUCAAUGGCUCUCAAGAAUUGUUAUUGAGACUGGAAUCUUACACAUCAUGGCUAACUUACUAGAAGGGUCAAAGAAGGUUGUUAUGCCACUGAGGUUUUCUACCAAUUUACAACAAGGGAUCCACAAUGUGAAUGAGAUAAACAAGAAGUUUGAAUACAAGAACCGUCUGGACAAGCAAGACUUGGUCAUGCUGCCAGUGCUCGAGAAGCUGGACAACAUUGAGCUCAUGAACACCGCCUCUACCAUCACGGGUACAGUACGCCACCUAUGGAGGAAGCAUUACCCAAAGUUCAGCAUCGAGCACUUCCAGAUUAUUGACAUUGACGUACCGAAGCAGCUCGGCAACAAUGAGUGUGGGCUAUUCGCACUACUUAACACCACUGAGUGGAAUGGUAGCCAACUACCCAACUACGAACCCAAGGAAGUACUCAACAUCAGGAAGAAGCUGGCAUAUGAUUGGGUCACCAGCCCGCACAACUCCGCCCCAUGGAGGAAGUUGCUCAGAUACGACAAGGACUAG
rnacentral:rRNA from 1 species